GUAGGGAAUCUUCCGCAAUGGACGAAAGUCUGACGGAGCAACGCCGCGUGAGUGAUGAAGGUUUUCGGAUCGUAAAGCUCUGUUGUUAGGGAAGAACAAGUACCGUUCGAAUAGGGCGGUACCUUGACGGUACCUAACCAGAAAGCCACGGCUAACUACGUGCCAGCAGCCGCGGUAAUACGUAGGUGGCAAGCGUUGUCCGGAAUUAUUGGGCGUAAAGGGCUCGCAGGCGGUUCCUUAAGUCUGAUGUGAAAGCCCCCGGCUCAACCGGGGAGGGUCAUUGGAAACUGGGGAACUUGAGUGCAGAAGAGGAGAGUGGAAUUCCACGUGUAGCGGUGAAAUGCGUAGAGAUGUGGAGGAACACCAGUGGCGAAGGCGACUCUCUGGUCUGUAACUGACGCUGAGGAGCGAAAGCGUGGGGAGCGA
rnacentral:rRNA from 1 species